GUCAUGGACAUGGUUAUGGUGGCAGCCACCAAAAUAGCUACUGUCAGAGCCAGAAGUUCAACUGGGCUCUCAAGAAUUUGGAUGAUUAAACUUGACGUAUAAAUAAAUGAUGCGGUGAAAGUAAAUUGUGUGUUCUUGGUAGUUACUUUGGCUAUAUGGAGCACAAAGGUUUGCUACCUAAAUAAGUAAUGUACUGAACAAUCUGCUGCUACGCUUAAUUUUAAUUAUAUAUGUAUCUGCUUUAUCAUGGAAUAAAAUGAUAAUAAUAUAUUAGAAAUACGUCUAUAUAUAUGAUUAAACUGAUUCGCGUGCAAUUAAUAAAAAAAUAAGAACACUAUCACGUGUUCAUAUGUUUCAUUGAAAUAAAUCAUAGUACGAGUGUUUUGAAUAAAACUUAAAGAUAAAUUUAAUUAGUUAUCGAUGUAUUAAGCACAUAAUGUAUAUGCAUGCCAUGGGUCGGUCAUGAGUGUUAGGGUUUAAAUCAAACAUAUACUACUAGACUUGGAUAUAAUCUGAAUAAGAUUACUUAAUAUGAUCUGACUGUAAUAUGAGGAUCGUAAGUUUGGAGAGGUUAAUAAUAAUUAAAUAAGUUAAAUUUUAAAUCUGUAUGGGAAGUUACUAGUAGGAUUAAAACUACUGACUACUUUGUAAGUAGGAUAAUUACUGACUGUUAGUAGGAUAAUUAUUAUAUCCACAAAUCACGUUGAUGGAAUGUGAAAACAUAACUGUCUAUUUCCUGUAUUAUAAAAGGGGUCCUCUUUCUGCCAAAAGAAGAAUAAAUUUCAUCAAAUAUUAUUCUGAAACGUAAGGUAAAGAGAGAGAAACAAUACUUUUGUUUUGUGCUUCUGCUAAACUCAAUCAGCAAGAAAACUAUGGAGAAUUCAGGUAAGUAAUUCUCUACUAAAUUACUGUAAUUUUGUUUAUGUGAAAAUUAUGUAGUUCCACGUUCUGAAUGAUUGAUAGGAUUAUAUAUUUGAUUGUUUAGGUUAUACAAUCUCUUAAAUCUUUACAUGUACAAGUUGGAAUUGGCGAAUAAAGCUUAAUGCUUAUAUAAAUGCAUAAGAAUAAAAGAGGAGGAACCUGAAUUCUGAAAUGUGCUCCAUUUAAGGCAAAUAUGAGAAUGGGAUGCCUUUCUUAUCUAAUUAGAAUCUCCCCAAAAUCCUAUAAAUAUACCUCACUCAAGAUCACAUUAUCACCAAGAAAAAACUUCGCAUCCAUCAACAAUAUUCAAAAUGCUUCUCCAAAAUCAUCUUGGGCAUCAAACAUACUCGUACGAGCAAAACUACUAUUCCGACCAGGGCGGCUCUAUCUUGUAAAAAAAAAUAGGCGACUGACUUAGGCCUCCAAAUUUGAGGGCCUCAUUUUUUACAAUAAUAUAUAUAGAUUUUUUUAAAAAAAUUAAAUUUUAUUUAUAAUAAAAUAAUUUUUUAUAUAAAAAGAAAGAAUUAUUAGAAGAAGUUCAUAUAUCUAAAGUACUAUGUCUCAAGAAAGAUUAAAUACUUUGAUUAUAUUAUUACACAAAAAAGAAUAAUUAGAAAAAAUCAAUUAUAUAAUUUUGAAAAUAGAGUUUAUUUAAAGAAAGUUAUUUAUUCUUAAAAUUUUAACACUCUGUUUGAUUUUCGCCUUAGGCCAGCAAUAUGCUUGAGCUGCCCUUGAUUCCGACAGCCAUGGUCAAAUGAUGAGGCCUUCGGCUUAUUCUUCCACCAUACCAUUUUCUCACUCUACUCAAAAUAAUCAUAUGAUGACGGGCCAACACCACGGUGGACAUUAUGGAAACCAUGGCCAUAGCCAUAGCCAUUAUGGAAGUCAUGGUAGUUAUCAAGGGCAUAUGCCACAUGAUUCAACCAACUUCUCAAGCAGCACCACCAAUAUGGUCCAUAGUGAUGGCUAUGGUAGUGGGAUGCAACAAUCUUCCCAUGCCCAUAUGUCGUCUAUGGCCACGGGACAUCAUGGUCAUGGUCAUGGACAUGGUUAUGGUGGCAGCCACCAAAAUAGCUACUGUCAGAGCCAGAAGUUCAACUGGGCUCUCAAGAAUUUGGAUGAUUAACGGUGAAAGUAAAUUGUGUGUUCUUGGUAGUUACUUUGGCUAUAUGGAGCACAAAGGUUUGCUACCUAAAUAAGUAAUGUACUGAACAAUCUGCUGCUACGCUUAAUUUUAAUUAUAUAUGUAUCUGCUUUAUCAUGGAAUAAAAUGAUAAUAAUAUAUUAGAAAUACGUCUAUAUAUAAGAAUAAAAUGAUUCGCGUGCAAUUAAUAAAAAAAUAAGAACACUAUCACGUGUUCAUAUGUUUCAUUGAAAUAAAUCAUAGUACAAGUGUUUUGAAUAAAACUUAAAGAUAAAUUUAAUUGGUUAUCGAUGUAUUAAGCACAUAAUGUAUCUGCAUGCCAUGGGUCGGUCAUGAGUAUUAGGGUUUAAAUCAAACAUAUACUACUAGACUUGGAUAUAAUCUGAAUAAGAUUACUUAAGUUGAUCUGACUGUAAUAUGAGGAUCAUAAGUUUGGAGAGGUACCAUAUAUUUAACCACCAUAAGAUAAAUAAACUAUAUGACCA
rnacentral:lncRNA from 1 species